rnacentral:rRNA from 1 species
AACGAACGCUGGCGGCAGGCUUAACACAUGCAAGUCGGGCGCCCCGCAAGGGGAGCGGCAGACGGGUGAGUAACGCGUGGGAAUCUACCCAUCUCUACGGAAUAACGCAUGGAAACGUGUGCUAAUACCGUAUACGUCCUUCGGGAGAAAGAUUUAUCGGAGAUGGAUGAGCCCGCGUUGGAUUAGCUAGUUGGCGGGGUAAAGGCCUACCAAGGCGACGAUCCAUUGCUGGUCUGAGAGGAUGAUCAGCCACACUGGGACUGAGACACGGCCCAGACUCCUACGGGAGGCAGCAGUGGGGAAUAUUGGACAAUGGGCGCAAGCCUGAUCCAGCCAUGCCGCGUGAGUGAUGAAGGCCCUAGGGUUGUAAAGCUCUUUCACCGGUGAAGAUAAUGACGGUAACCGGAGAAGAAGCCCCGGCUAACUUCGUGCCAGCCGCCGCUGUAAGAC